AGAGUUUGAUCCUGGCUCAGGACGAACGCUGGCGGCGUGCUUAACACAUGCAAGUCGUGGGAGCCUCGCAAGAGGCGACCGGCGAACGGGUGCGUAACACGUGAGCGACCUACCGAUUCGUGGGGGAUAGCCGGCCCAACGGCCGGGUAAUACCGCAUACGCCAAACAAGCUGCAUGGUUUGUUUGGGAAACCUCCGGGG
rnacentral:rRNA from 1 species